UUCACGUUAAGUCAAUGUCACCUGUACCCGAAACCGACACAGGUAGGGAGGUUGGGAAUACCAAGGGGCGCGAGAUAACUCUCUCUAAGGAACUCGGCAAAAUGGCCCCGUAACUUCGGGAGAAGGGGUGCCCACCUAAGACGUGGGUCGCAGUGAAGAGAUCCAGGCGACUGUUUACCAAAAACACAGGUCUCCGCUAAGUCAAAUGACGACGUAUGGGGGCUGACGCCUGCCCAGUGCCGGAAGGUUAAGGAAGUUGGUCAGGGAGCAAUCCUAAAGCUGACGACUGAAGCCCCGGUGAACGGCGGCCGUAACUAUAACGGUCCUAAGGUAGCGAAAUUCCUUGUCGGGUAAGUUCCGACCCGCACGAAAGGCGUAACGAUCUGGAUGGUGUCUCAGAGAGAGACUCGGCGAAAUAGGAAUGUCUGUGAAGAUACGGACUGCCUGCACCUGGACAGAAAGACCCUAUGAAGCUUUACUGUAGCCUGUAAUUGAAUCCGGGCUGAGCUUGCGCAGGAUAGGUGGGAGGCGUUGAUAUUGUCCUUGUGGGGGCAAAGGAGCCAACGGUGAGAUACCACUCUGGCGCAGCUAGGAUUCUAACUUGGAGCCGUUAGCCGGCACAAGAACCGUUGCAGGUGGGCAGUUUGACUGGGGCGGUCGCCUCCUAAAUGGUAACGGAGGCGCGCAAAGGUUCCCUCAGCACGCUUGGAAACCGUGCAUAGAGUGUAAAGGCAAAAGGGAGCUUGACUGCAAGAGUCACAACUCAAGCAGGGACGAAAGUCGGCCUUAGUGAUCCGACGGCACUGAGUGGAAGGGCCGUCGCUCAACGGAUAAAAGUUACUCUAGGAUAACAGGCUGAUCUCCCCCAAGAGUUCACAUCGACGGGGAGGUUUGGCACCUCGAUGUCGGCUCAUCGCAACCUGGGGCGGAAGUACGUCCCAAGGGUUGGGCUGUUCGCCCAUUAAAGCGGUACGUGAGCUGGGUUCAGAACGUCGUGAGACAGUUCGGUCCAUAUCCGGUGCAGGCGUAAGAGCAUUGAGAGGAGCCCUCCUUAGUACGAGAGGACCGGGAGGGACGCACCGCUGGUGUACCAGUUAUCGUGCCAACGGUAAACGCUGGGUAGCCAAGUGCGGCGCGGAUAACCGCUGAGAGCAUCUAAGUGGGAAGCCCACCUCAAGAUGAGUGCUCUCAUGGAAUAAUCCAGUAAGGUCACAGGAAGAUUACCUGUUAAUAGGCGCAAGGUGGAAGUUCAGUAAUGAAUGUAGCCGAAGCGUACUAAUAGACCGAGGGC
rnacentral:rRNA from 1 species